UGAUGUGUAGGAUAGGUGGGAGGCUUUGAAGUGUGGACGCCAGUCUGCAUGGAGCCGACCUUGAAAUACCACCCUUUAAUGUUUGAUGUUCUAACGUUGACCCGUAAUCCGGGUUGCGGACAGUGUCUGGUGGGUAGUUUGACUGGGGCGGUCUCCUCCUAAAGAGUAACGGAGGAGCACGAAGGUUGGCUAAUCCUGGUCGGACAUCAGGAGGUUAGUGCAAUGGCAUAAGCCAGCUUGACUGCGAGCGUGACGGCGCGAGCAGGUGCGAAAGCAGGUCAUAGUGAUCCGGUGGUUCUGAAUGGAAGGGCCAUCGCUCAACGGAUAAAAGGUACUCCGGGGAUAACAGGCUGAUACCGCCCAAGAGUUCAUAUCGACGGCGGUGUUUGGCACCUCGAUGUCGGCUCAUCACAUCCUGGGGCUGAAGUAGGUCCCAAGGGUAUGGCUGUUCGCCAUUUAAAGUGGUACGCGAGCUGGGUUUAGAACGUCGUGAGACAGUUCGGUCCCUAUCUGCCGUGGGCGCUGGAGAACUGAGGGGGGCUGCUCCUAGUACGAGAGGACCGGAGUGGACGCAUCACUGGUGUUCGGGUUGUCAUGCCAAUGGCACUGCCCGGUAGCUAAAUGCGGAAGAGAUAAGUGCUGAAAGCAUCUAAGCACGAAACUUGCCCCGAGAUGAGUUCUCCCUGACUCCUUGAGAGUCCUGAAGGAACGUUGAAGACGACGACGUUGAUAGGCCGGGUGUGUAAGCGCAGCGAUGCGUUGAGCUAACCGGUACUAAUGAACCGUGAGG
rnacentral:rRNA from 1 species